UAACUGAAGAGUUUGAUCAUGGCUCAGAUUGAACGCUGGCGGCAGGCUUAACACAUGCAAGUCGAGCGGGGGAAGGUAGCUUGCUACCGGACCUAGC
rnacentral:rRNA from 1 species